NGNNUGGUAGUGUGGGGGAUAACGUCCGGAAACGGGCGCUAAUACCGCAUACGUCCUGAGGGAGAAAGUGGGGAUCCGGACCUCACGCUAUCAGAUGAGCCUAGGUCGGAUUAGCUGGUUGGUGGGGUAAAGGCCUACCAAGGCGACGAUCCGUAACUGGUCUGAGAGGAUGAUCAGUCACACUGAACUGAGACACGGCCCAGACCCUACGGGAGGCAGCAGUGGGGAAUAUUGGACGAUGGGCGAAGGCCUGAUCCAGCCACGCGUGCGUGAAGAAGGUCUUCGGAUUGUAAAGCACUUUAGUUGGGAGUAAGUGUUACCUUUUUGACGUUACCAACAGAAUAAGCACCGGCUAACUUCGUGCCAGCAGCCGCGGUAAUACGAAGGGUGCAAGCGUUAAUCGAAUUACUGGGCGUAAAGCGCGCGUAGGUNGCCCAGCAGUUGGAUGUGAAAUCCCCGGGCCUCAACCUGGGAACUGCAUCCAAAACUACUGAGCCAGAGUACGGUAGAGGUGGAAUUUGUGUAGCGGUGAAAUGCGUAGAUAUAGGAGGACACCAGUGGCGAAGGCGACCACCUGGACUGAUACUGACACUGGNGAAAGCGUGGGGAGCAAACAGGAUUAGAUACCCUGGUAGUCCACGCCGUAAACGAUGUCGACUAGCUGGGAUCCUUGAUCAUAGUGGCGCAGCUAACGCGAUAAGUCGACCGCCUGGGGAGUACGGCCGCAAGGUUAAACUCAAAUGAAUUGACGGGGCCCACAAGCGGUGGAGCAUGGUUUAAUUCGAAGCAACGCGAAGAACCUUACCUGGCCUUGACAUGCUGAGAACUUUCCAGAGAUGGAUUGGUGCCUUCGGGAACUCAGACACAGGUGCUGCAUGGCUGUCGUCAGCUCGUGUCGUGAAUGUUGGUUAAGUCCCGUAACGAGCGCAACCCUUGUCCAGUUACCAGCACCUCAGGUGGGCACUCUAAGGAGACUGCCGGUGACAAACCUGGAGAANGGGAUGUCAAGUCAUCAUGGCCCUUACGGCNCAGGGCUACACGCNGUGNGGUUGGUCAAGCCNGUAGAGUUAAUCCAUAAAACCGAUCGUAGUCCGGAUCGCAGUCUGCAACUCGACUGCGUGAAGUCGGAAUCGCCAGUAAUCGUGAAUCAGAAUGUCACGGUGANACGUUCCCGGGCCUUGUACACACCGCCCGUCCACCAUGGGAGGGGUUGCUCCAGAAGUAGUCUAACCGCAAGGGGACGGUUACCACGGAGUGAUUCUGNGNUGNGAAGUCGGAACAAGGUAGCCGUAGGGGAACCUGCGGCUG
rnacentral:rRNA from 1 species